rnacentral:rRNA from 1 species
GAUGAACGCUGGCGGCGUGCCUAAUACAUGCAAGUCGAGCGAACGGACGAGAGGCUUGCUUCUCUGAUGUUAGCGGCGGACGGGUGAGUAACACGUGGAUAACCUACCUAUAAGACUGGGAUAACUUCGGGAAACCGGAGCUAAUACCGGAUGAUAUUUUGAACCGCAUGGUUCAAAAGUGAAAGACGGUCUUGCUGUCACUUAUAGAUGGAUCCGCGCUGCAUUAGCUAGUUGGUAAGGUAACGGCUUACCAAGGCAACGAUGCAUAGCCGACCUGAGAGGGUGAUCGGCCACACUGGAACUGAGACACGGUCCAGACUCCUACGGGAGGCAGCAGUAGGGAAUCUUCCGCAAGGGGCGAAAGCCUGACGGAGCAACGCCGCGUGAGUGAUGAAGGUCUUCGGAUCGUAAAACUCUGUUAUUAGGGAAGAACAUAUGUGUAAGUAACUGUGCACAUCUUGACGGUACCUAAUCAGAAAGCCACGGCUAACUACGUG